rnacentral:rRNA from 1 species
GCGAACGCUGGCGGCAGGCCUAACACAUGCCAGUCGAACGGACCCUUCGGGGUUAGUGGCGGACGGGUGAGUAACACGUGGGAACGUGCCUUUAGGUUCGGAAUAGCUCCUGGAAACGGGUGGUAAUGCCGAAUGUGCCCUUCGGGGGAAAGAUUUAUCGCCUUUAGAGCGGCCCGCGUCUGAUUAGCUAGUUGGUGAGGUAACGGCUCACCAAGGCGACGAUCAGUAGCUGGUCUGAGAGGAUGACCAGCCACACUGGGACUGAGACACGGCCCAGACUCCUACGGGAGGCAGCAGUGGGGAAUCUUGCGCAAUGGGCGAAAGCCUGACGCAGCCAUGCCGCGUGAAUGAUGAAGGUCUUAGGAUUGUAAAAUUCUUUCACCGGGGACGAUAAUGACGGUACCCGGAGAAGAAGCCCCGGCUAACUUCGUG